rnacentral:rRNA from 1 species
UGCUACAGCCAUGCCACCCUGAACGUGCCAGAUCUCGCCUAAUUCCUGAAGUUAAGCAGUGUCAGGCCUGGUUAGUACUUGGAUGGGAGACCAUCUAGGAAUACUGGGUGCUGUAGGCA